AUCGCACCCAAACCCAAGAACUGCAGUUUCUAGUAACAGCGGCUUAAACAGCGGUGUGAAAGGCAAGCGAAUCUCGUCGCCUUUGGGGGCUGUGUGGUGCCCCUCAGAGUGAAUGUGGAGGUUCUACAUCC
rnacentral:snoRNA from 1 species